ensembl:lncRNA
CUGUGUAUGUGAAAGAGAGAGAUUUAUCUCCCUGUGUAUGUGAAAGAGAGAGAUUUAUCUCCCUGUGUAUGUGAGAUUUAUCUCCCUGUGUAUGUGAGAGAGAAAUGUAUCUCCCUGUGUAUGUGAAAGAGAGAGAUUUAUCUCCAUGUGUAUGUGAAAGAGAGAUUUAGCUCCCUGUGUAUGUGAAAGAGAGAUUUAUCUCCCUGUGUAUGUGAAAGAGAGAUUUAUCUCCAUUUGAAAGAGAGAGAAAGAUUUAUCUCCCUGUGUAUGUGAAAGAGAGAGAGAUUUAUCUCCCUGUGUAUGUGAAAGAGAGAUUUAUCUCCCUGUGUAUGUGAAAGAGAGAGAUUUAUCUCCCUGUGUAUGUGAAAGAGAGAUUUAUCUCCCUGUGUAUGUGAGAGAUUUAUAUCCCUGUGUAUGUGAAAGAGAGAUUUAGCUCCCUGUGUAUGUGAAAGAGAGAGAGAGAUUUAUCUCCCUGUGUAUGUGAAAGAGAGAGAUUUAUCUCCCUGUGUAUGUGAAAGAGAGAGAGAUGUAUCUCCCUGUGUAUGUGAGAGAGAGAGAGAUUUAUCUCCCUGUGUAUGUGAGAGAGAGAGAGAGAUUUAUCUCCCUGUGUAUGUGAAAGAGAGAUUUAUCUCCCUGUGUAUGUGAGAGAGAGAGAGAUGUAUCUCCCUGUGUAUGUGAGAGAGAGAGAGUCCUUGUAUAGGUUUUGUGCCUGUGGUCAGUUGAAUAUGUGCAUUGUUAACAAGUCAGCCUAACAAUACGAUGACUAGGUUUCCAUAGAACCAAUGAUGGAGAAGAUGGGGAGAUUACAGGACUGUGGUCUGACACGGCCUGCAUCGUCUCAAAUGGCAUCCCAUUCCCUAUGUAGUGCACUACUUUUGACCAAGAGCCCCAGAAAUAGUGCACUAUAAAGGGAAUAGGGUACCAUUUGGGACGCCACAUGGAUGCUUCAAGCUGUCCCAGAUCAGUUACUAUUAUACCUCGCGUGUCAUUACCAAACACUGUAAUCACAUGGCUCUCCCUUUUCAAUGUCUGAGAUGUACUGUAAUUCAGUGGUAGGCUAUGGUGCGUUCAACAAGGCAGAGAGGGAAAGAGUGAGAGAGAAAGAGAGAGGGAAAGAGAGUGGGAGGUAAAGAGAGAGGGAAAGAGAGUGGGAGGUAAAGAGAGAGGGAAAGAGAGUGAGGGAAAGAGAGAGGGAAAGAGAGUGGGAGGUAAAGAGAGAGGGAAAGAGAGUGGGAGGUAAAGAGAGAGGGAAAGAGAGUGAGAGGGCAAGAGAGUGAGGGAAAGAGAGUGGGAGGUAAAGAGAGAGGGAAAGAGAGUGAGAGGUAAAGAGAGUGGGAGAUCCAACAACGACGAGACGGCCUACAGGGAGGAGGUGAGGGCCCUCGGAGUGUGGUGUCAGGAAAAUAACCUCACACUCAACGUCAACAAAACUAAGGAGAUGAUUGUGGACUUCAGGAAACAGCAGAGGGAACACCCCCCUAUCCACAUCGAUGGAUCAGUCGUGGAGAGGGUAGUAAGUUUUAAGUUCCUCGGCAUACACAUCACAGACAAACUGAAUUGGUCCACUCACACAGACAGCAUCGUGAAGAAGGCGCAGCAGCACCUCUUCAACCCCAGGAGGCUGAAGAAAUUCGGCUUGUCACCAAAAGCACUCACAAACUUCUACAGAUGCACAAUCGAGAGCAUCCUGGCGGGCUGUAUCACCGCCUGGUACGGCAACUGCUCCGCCCACAACCGUAAGGCUCUCCAGAGG